CAGUCUGGUGAUGGGCAAAGAGACACCUUGUUGAUAGUGCUGUUCUUCUAUCAGUCAGGGCAGAGCAGACGGCAGCCCUUUGUUCACCCUAGCUAGAUGCCUGCCAUUGUGGCCAAAGCUGUCUUAUGCCUAGGACCCAUAA